UCAAAACUUCAUCCAGACAUUUGUGCUGCAUUUAAAAGCCUGUCUUCCCUUUACUGCACUGCUGGAAGUAUUGGCAGUGUUUCAAGUUACUGCCAAUAUGAAACUAGUAUCUGCCAUUUUAGUUUACUCUGAUCAUGCUCAGUGGACCAGUGGCACCAGGCCAAUAUAAAUAGUUUGGUGUCCCAGUUGUGUCCGAUGGUGAGGAAGUGUCUCAGGAAAGAAGAAACCUACGACCUAAGAAUGGACACUGUAAUGCUAAUUGGUCGAGUGGCAUCAUUUCUCGGUCAAGAGGUCUGUGUGUCUGAGUUUGUUCCUCAGUUACCAGCUUUAGCAUCUGAUGCCAUGUUUCAUGUGAGAAAGUCCUUUGCUAUAUGCUGUAAAGACUUGUGUUCAAUAAUAGGACCAGCAUCUACUGAGGAAGUUAUUAGAGAUUGCAGUGCGUAGUAUGGUAGAAGCUGCUCACUUUG